CGCAAGCACUCAUCUAAAUGAAUAUUUGAAGUCCAGGAUUUUUCUGGAACGGCCAGGUUUGAACAACACCAGAGACUGAAUGCAAUGCAAAAAGACCAAGAGAUCAUGUGGUUUGUGUUUUAUCUGUUUUAAUACCACUAACAUGAGAUCCAGAUCCCUCCGCCCACCCUCCAUAACAAAUAACAAUAAUGCUGAGUGUUCCGUAUGAAAAUUCUAAGACAGCCCAAUCAGCCAACUCCAGUCACCCUGAUUAACUAAAGCCACAUGCAGUUUAGGCAAGUAUCAAAAGAGUAAACAAAACAAACUAAAAACAGAUCGAGUAAGUAGUAG